rnacentral:rRNA from 1 species
AUUGAACGCUGGCGGCAGGCCUAACACAUGCAAGUCGAACGAGUGGCGGACGGGUGAGUAAUGUCUGGGAAACUGCCUGAUGGAGGGGGAUAACCACUGGAAACGGUAGCUAAUACCGCAUCCCAUCGGAUGUGCCCAGAUGGGAGUAGCGAGUAGGUGGGGUAACGGCUCACCUAGGCGACGAUCCCUAGCUGGUCUGAGAGGAUGACGAGCCACACUGGAACGGAGACACGGUCCAGACUCCUACGUGAGGCAGCAGUGGGGAAUAGUGCACAAUGGGCGCAAGCCUGAUGCAGCCAUGCCGCGUGUGUGAAGAAGGCCUUCGGGUUGUAAAGCACUUUCAGCGGGGAGGCGUUACCCGCAGAAGAAGCACCGGCUAACUCCGUGCCAGCAGCCGCGGUAAUUC